rnacentral:ncRNA from 2 species
ACUUAACUUCGGGGCAGGGUGAAAUUCCCUACCGGCGGUGAUAAGGCUAAAAGCCUUUUAGUCCGUGACCCGUAUUUUUUAUACGGUGGAUCUGGUGAAACUCCAGAGCCGACAGUGAAAGUCUGGAUGGGAGAAGUUUAAC